UUGUAUUCGCUGCUUGGUUUGUCACUCAGAUUGGAGGCCCCUCCCACACUGUAUAUAUUCUCCUCAGAGGGUGCAGUGAGGCCCUGCAGCACUCUCACUUCUUCUCAGCUCCAUUUGACUGACUACAUCUGCAAAGAUGACUGGCACGAGAUAAAGAACAUCUCCUU